CAAUAGCGUAUAUUAAAGUUGUUGCAGUUAAAAAGCUCGUAGUUGGAUCUCGGGUCCAGGCUUGUGGUGCAGCUUAGGCUGCUGACUGUUCGUCCUGACCUCCCUCCCGGUUUUCCCUUGGUGCUCUUAAGUGAGUGUCUUGGGUGGCCGGAACGUUUACUUUGAAAAAAUUAGAGUGCUCAAAGCAGGCUUUCGCCUGAAUAUUAGUGCAUGGAAUAAUUGAAUAGGACCUCGGUUCUAUUUUGUUGGUUUUCGGAACUCGAGGUAAUGAUUAAGAGGGACAGACGGGGGCAUUCGUAUUACGGUGUUAGAGGUGAAAUUCUUGGAUCGCCGUAAGACGAACUACUGCGAAAGCAUUUGCCAAGCAUGUUUUCAUUAG
rnacentral:rRNA from 1 species